rnacentral:lncRNA from 1 species
AGGAAUACCAAGAACGGCGUCGAUCGGCCAAGAACGGCGUCGAUAAGUAACUGAAGGUAGACAUCUCGUACCUUUCCUGUUGAUUCUUUCGCUUUUCCUUGAGAUCAAAAGCGAUGUAGUUUCUUCUUUCACUUCGCGAUCUCCUUCGCGAGAGCGAAAGUGCUGAUAACAUGUUGAAAGUGAAUAAGAUUGAUUGAGCGAGAGGGAUUGAGCGAGAGAGAAUUGCACACAAGAAUGUAGGGAAUGAAUGAGCGGUAUCUUUAUUGAUCGAUGCGGUAUAAUAUAUAGAUAGGGAAGGGGUGGCAACCGGAGACGCGAUGGUUGGGAACCAUCACGUCCGUUGCCAAGGAGCGCCUAGGGAAGGCGCGGUUGCCUUCGGUUGCGAUCCAUCCUUUUAUAUGGAUGAGAUCACCCUGUUGUUUCAUAACAUGAUCAAUGGAUCUGACAGGAACCGAAAAGGAGAGGAUGGUCAUCUGGUCAAGCGAUGCAACAAAAUUUAUAACUCCGUAUUUUUGUUACUGUUCUGGUAUGGUUCACAGUUGGCAGCGUUACCGGAAGCUUUUGUUGGUGGCUAUCCUCGUGGAUCCACAUUUGGCUUCAGGAUCAGCGUCUAAAGUUUAAUAAAUAUUAGUAUUAGGAUCGUUACAUAUUAAAUUUGUGAAUAUGAACCUUAAGGUUAACCAAUUUUGUGGUUUUUAUCUUCGGUAUAAUUUCAUGAGCUAUUAUAGCCUUCGACGAAAAUUGAUGAGUAUUGACCAUUUGAAAAAAAAACAUUAAAGCUGAGUUCUUAUCUCCACUUCUCUAACCCACAUCUCUCGUUUUCCGCGCGCACGCUUUUCAAACUGCUAAACAGUGUAUUUUUUACAAAAAAAAUUUAUAUAUGAAAGUUACUUUAAAAAAUUAUAUUAAUCCAUUUUCCAAAUUUAUUUUAGCUAAUACAUUGAACACAGCCUAAUAGUGUUCUCCUGCCCAACAUUUUGUGAGUACUAGUAUUGGGAUCAUUGCACAAGAAAUUCAUGAAUAUUAACAUUAGGAAAACAGAAUUCAUAACUUUUAUAAAAAACAUGAAUAUUUUUCUCAUGCACAAAAUUUGGUGAGCAUUAAAAUUGGAAUCGCCAUGCACAAAAUUCAUGAAUAUUAACGUUAUGGAAAAAAACUCAUGAUUUUUAUUCUUUAGCCUGUAAUUUCGUGAGUUAUAGCCUUUGGCCAAAAUUUAUAAGUAAUAAACUUUGGAAAAAAAACAUGUGUGGUUAUUUAUUUCUCACCCAAAAUUUUACGACUAUUUGCCUUGGGCCCAUACGAAACAAAAUUCAUGAAUAAUAACCUUAGGGCAAAGAAAUACAUGAUUUUUAGCCCCCUGCGUAUUAUUUCAUGAGUUAUAGCUCAUGAAUUAUAAAAAUCAUCGAUCAUAUUUUUAAUGCUCGUGAAAAUUUUAAUAUUAACCUUUUAAAAAACACGGAAUUAUUUUAGGCCUAUGGAAAAUAAUAUUAACGCUACAACAUCAAAUUUUAUGAUUUUUUUAUCCUUCACCUUAUAAUUUCAUGAGUUAUAUCCCUCAAGCAAAAUUUAUUAGUAUAAACCUUUGAAAAAAAAUACAUGAAUAUUUAUUUAUGACCCAAAAUUUCUUGAUAUUUAUCUCAGGCCCAUUUCUUGAAUAUUAACCUUAUUAUAAAAAAAAUUCCAUGAAUUUUAGUCGGCCUAUAAUUUCGUGAAUUAUAGAAUUUAGCAAAAAUUGACGAGUAUUAACCUUUUGGGAAAAAAGAAACGCAUGAAUAUUGCUCUCUGUUCCAAAAUUUCACAAGUAUUAUCAUUAGGGUCGUCGCACUAAGGAGUAAAAUUUUCAUGAUUUCUAGCCUUUGCACUAUAACUUUGUGAGUUAUAGCCUUCUACUCAAAUUAAAGAGUAUUAACCUUUUGGGGAAACCAUACGCAUAUUUAUCUCCAGCGCAAAAUUUCAUGAGUAUUUGCCUUGGGUCAGUUCAAAAAAGUUUCAUUAAUAUGAACGUCAUGACAAAAAAAUCAAGAUUUUUAUCCAUCGGCAUAUAGUUUUAUGAGUUAUAGCCUUGGGAGAAUAUAUGGCACGGAUAUUUAUUCCCGGCCAAAAAUUUCUUGAGUAUUUGCCUUGGGCCCAAUCGAAACAAAAAAAUUCAUGAAUACUAACAUUUAUCCCGAACUGACCCAAGGCAAAUACUCAUGAAAUUUUGGGCUGGAGAUAAAUACCGGAGGUUAUAGCCUCCAGUAUAUAAUUUCGGUAGUUAUAGCCUUUAGCUAAGACUGAUGGGUAUUAUCCUUGGGGGGGAGGGGGGAUGAAUCAAUUUUUUUUCCAACCAAAAUUUUCAUGGUAUUAGCAUUGUAGUCACUGCACACAAAAUUCGUGAACAUUAACCUUUUGAGCAAAAGGUUUGUGAUUUUUAGCGGUCAUCCAAUAAUUUUGUGAGUUAUAGCCUUCGAAGAAAAAUAUGUGAGUAUUAUUAACCUUUUGGAAAAUAAAUGCAUGAAUAUUUUUUUCUCAAUCCAAAAUUUUAUCAGUACAACUAUUGGGAUCGUUCGACACAAAAUUCAUGAAUAUUAUUGUUAGGACCAAACAUUUCAUGAUUUUCAUCGUUCGAUCUAUAAUUUCAUGACUUAUAGCCUUCGAGCAAAAUCCAUGAGUAUUAACCUUUGGAAAAAAACAUGAAUAUUUAUCCCAUCGCAAAAUUUCACGCGCAUUUUCAUUGGCCCACUUGGAGAGAGAAAAAUGUGAAUGUUAAAGUUAGGAUCAAAACUUUCAUGGUUUUUAGCCUGACAUAUUAUUUCGGGAGUUAUAGCCUUCGGCAAAAAUUGAUGAGCAUUAACCUUUCUCUCUGACAUAUUAUCAGUAUUUCUCUCUGGCCCAAAAAUACAUUAGUAUUAUCAUUGUGGUUGCUGCACACAAUAAAAAUUAGGGGAAAAUUUUGUGAUUUAUAACCUUCAACAAAUAUAUGAGUAAUAACCUUUGGGAAAAAUGCAUGAAUACUUUUCGUCGAUCGUUGAGCAUAAAAUCCAUGAGUAAUAUACUUAGGACCAAAUGUUUUAUGAUUUUUUAUCGUUCAUCCAAUGAUUUCGUGAGUUAUAUCCUUCAACUAAAACUCCUAAGUAUUAACCAUUGGAAAAUAUGCAUGAACUAUGGUCCAAAAUUUCAAGAGUAUCUGAGUUGGGCUUAUUUGGAACAAAAUUCAUGAACAUUAACCUCUGGAUUUAAAAGUCAUUUUUUUAGCUUCCGGCUUGGUAUUAAUGAUCUGAGAAAAAUGCAUGAAUAUUUUUCUCUAGCAACAAAAUCCGUGAAAAUUAAAGGAUUUUUUUUGGGGGGGGAAUAAAUAGUUUUUUCCGACCCAACAAAUCAGAUAACAUAUUUUUUAGGCUUUGGCCGAAAUUCAUGAGUAUUAAGUUUUAGAAAAAUAAAUGAAUAUUUAUCUCUAUCCCAAAAAUUCACGAAUAUUUGCCUUGGGCCCAUUCAGAACAAAAUAAUUCAAUAUUAAUAUUACGAUAAAAAAAUAUAUGUUUUGCCCUUCAACCUAUAAUUUCAUGAUAUAUAUCCUUCGGGCUUCUGCCAAACUUUCCUUGCUAUGAACCUUUGAGAAAAAAACCCUUGAAUAUUGUUCUCCAUGCCAUAUUUCACAACAACCAGCAUUGGCGUCAUUGCGGAUAAAAUUCACAAAUGUACACAUUAGGACAAAAAUUUCAUGAUUUUAAAACAUUUCUCCGACCGAAAAUUUCAAUAGUAUUAGCCUUGAAACAUUUCUACAUAAAAUUCGUGAAUGCUAACCUUAGGAUGAAGAAAAUUCGAUAUUUUUUAGCCUUUGGCCUAUUAUUUCAUGAUCUUUUGGGGAAAAUGCAUAAAUAUUUUUUUCACUCCAAUAUUUCAUGAGUAUUUGCACUGGGAUCGACGCACAUAAAAUUUAUGAAUAUUAACCUUAUAUCUUAUAAUUUUGUGAUUUUAGCCUUCGGCCUAUAAUUUUGUGAGUUAUAGCCUUCGAAAAAAUUGUUGAAUAUCAAACUUCUGAAAAAAAAUCAUGAAUAAUUUUCUCCGACCCAAAUUUGAAGAGUAUUGCCUUGAAACCAUUCUUCAUAGAAUUCAUGAAUGCUAACCUUAGGACCAAACAUUUCGUGAUUUUUAGCCUUCGCCCUAUAAUUUUGUGAGUUAUAACCUUUGGCCAACAUUUAUGAAUAUUAACCUUUUGAAAACAAAAUGCAUGAAUAAUGUUCUACAGCCUAAAAUUUUAGCACUAUUAGCAUUCACAAAAAUCGUGAAUAUUAGACGUAGGAGUUUUUUUUUUCCUUCGGUCUAUAACUUUCGUGAGUUCUUGCCUUGGGGGAAAUUGAUGAGUAUUCAAAUUUUGGAAAAUAAAAUGCAUGAAUAUUGUUCUCUUGCCCAAAAUUUCAAGGAUAUUAGCUUUGGGAUUGUUACACACAAAAAUUCGUGAAUAUAGUUAUUGCGUUCGGAAAGACAUGCAUAAAUAUUUAUCUCCAGCCUAUAUAAUGUCACGAGUUAUAGUGUUGGCGUCACACUUCAAUUUCUUUGUCAUAUAGUACUCACUAGUGUAUGCACUAUGCAGCAGGUAUCGACAUAUAUUGUGCUCCGGCCCGUUGCUGAUUGAUUCCAGGUAAGUUUGGCAAAGCGUCCAUGACUCAUAUUGUCAUAUUGCCUCCAUGACAACAAGCGAGGGGAAAUGCUUUAGGUGAAUAACCGGAGGAAGUAUCCGGAUGAUGUAUUUGCUCCUGGUCUAGGUGAAUAGCCUUCUCUGGACACUGUUGUCUGCCCUGGAGGUAGUUUUGAUAACAUUGACAGGUAUCUGGAUUGGCAGGUCCCAAGUACGACGGAGAGGCCGGCGCAGAUUAGAGCUGAUCUAUAGGUAAUCACAUAUGUCCAUAAUAUAUGUUUUUUUUAAUAUAAAUGUUUCCGCACAACAAAUUUGUUUCAGUGCUCCCUCAGUUUUCUGGCGCCAACUUUCCAAUAGUUGUGAGAUAAUUAAUUCAUAUACUGUACCUGUUGCUAUAUAAGAGCAAGUUCAAUAGUAUAGCCAACUACUAGCUCCAAUUCAUCUAUAGUCAAUCUAAUAGCCCAUUCAUACAAUAGUUACAUACUACACUAUUAAUAUCUAGUCCCACCUGUCAUAGACACACUGCGUCUUGGAGUCCGUGCUACAGCUGGCUACAAAUCUGUAGCCCGUUGCUCUUCUCUCUCUUGAUUUAUCUUCGUAAAAUAUGUUUGUAGCUGGCUUAUAGCCUGCCAUUGUACCUGCUCUAACGCAGCAAAGUGUGAUGAAUGUUGGUGUUGAUGAUGGGAUCAUGGGAAGUAACCAUGAGAUAACAGAGGUAUUGUUCGAUGGAGUAAGUGUAUUAUAUGUAUGUAAAUAUUAUAUUAUUGUAAAUCAUUUUGAGGAGCUAGACUAGCGUGCCUUAUUAACAAGGAGAUAUGUACCAUUACAUGAUGAUUAACAUAUAAAUCUGUAGCUACAUGGAAUUAAGGUAGUGGAGCAGAGGAGGAAGGAUGAUAGAAGACUCCAAUUCUCCAUGGAUGGGAAUGGGAUCAGGUGGCCUUGCAGAACUCUCCGCCCAGAUCGUCGCACGCCUCCUCGGGGAACACCCUGCGUGCAAUUUUGUGUUUUCCGAUUUCAGUUCCAGUUAGUUACACUAGAUUUCAUCAGUUGGGUAGUAUAGUAGUAGAGCUUAAUUAAUUACGUGGUGGGCUCGUCGUAGGAUAGGUAGUCCCUGUCGACUUCCUCCGCCGCCGCACGAGAAACAGCAACAGCAGCCGAUGAUGAGAGCUUGGCCUCUGGGUACAUCUGCACGUUGCACGCCUCGCCGCCGAUGAGGUCGCACGCCUCCAUCGGAAACACCCUGCGCGCAGUAGUCAAUUUCACUUCAUGGCAUAUACUGUACUAUAUACUACUAGUAAUGGUAUGAUGAGUUGCAUUGCAGUGCACAAUGCAAUGGUGAGUUUGGUACAAACAUAAUUGGUGCCUAGGCUAGGAUCAAUCGAUAGAUGCAUCAUGUAUAGACAGACAAUUGUAGUACUUACGAGAUGUUAGAGCUGUAGUCCACCUCCGCAGCCUCCACUGCCACCGCCGCCGCCGCCGCACGAACGCGCAACGCAACACGGCGAGGAGCCUGAAUCUGCAGGCUGCGCCCCUUCACAGCAGCGGGCAACACGGCCGACAAUCCAACGACACUGCUAGCAGCGGUCUGCAUCUUCUUCUUCUUCUUUCUUCUUCUUCUUCUUUUGCUUAAUUAGCUUGGUGGUAGAUAUCUUCUUUCUUCACAUCCUCCUCUCUUUAUACAUCUCCAGUCAAGUGUGCCACAAGGCCGGGAUAUCCUUCCUGCCCCUUCAAUUCCCUCUUUUCUAUGGAUAAGAUUCAGCUGAUAUGUGGUGUUCUCCCAUUUGGCUUGCUCGCUACAGGGCCCCACCCCCAAUGCCCCGCAUCUUUGUACUCUUGUAAAGAUAUUUCUACCCUAUCUCUUCAUACUUAUCUUACCUCAAUUCUUACAAAAUUGCAAAACAGGCACAGCCAAAAAAGGACAGCAUGCAGUUGAUGUUGCAGUAAGAAAACAACCUACCUCCGAGAUAUUUUCUUCUUCCCUCCCUGUUCACCUUCUCUUUUCUUUGCACAAUCCACUAGAAAGAAUACUUUGUACAAUUUUUAGGUGGCAAGCAAGCAGAAGCAGGCAACCUAUUGAUGUUGUACUUGCAACCAAGCACGCUUCCAAUGACACUAGGACAGUAUUCCAAAUUGAAAGAACCACCACCACCGACAAAGCAUCAUAUGAUGCAUCUAAUCAACCUCAACCCAUCACAACUCGAAAUCCCCUUUUCUAAAAGGCAGAGUGGAAGAUAUAAGACUGCAAGCUCGGUUUAACAAAUCAAGGCGACUCAUGAAGAGAAACACAUACACAGAUUAAUUGUUCAACUGCAAUUGCAUAGCAAUGGGUUCUCACGUCAAUGCCAAUCACAAGCAAAGGUACAUGAAUUACUGUUCUAACUGCGGAUUGAUGCUCGAGGGACUGCUGGCAAUCCUAGCUCAUCCACCUGCACCAGAUAGCACCAGGCAACAUUCAGUACAAGCUUAAAACAGGUAAACUACGGACCAAUCUAAUUGGUUCAUACAAAACAUGGUUGUUUUAGCUGUUGAUCAACAAUGCACCUAGUCUAUGCAAGAAUAUUUGAACUUGGGAUAGUGAACAACAGACACUGCUAACUCAUGAAUAACAACUUCUUAAGAAAAAAGGAAAGGAAAAUUCAUCAUUCAUUCCUCUAGUACAUACAUGGGACUAGAUAGUUCUCGAAUCAUCAUGACAAAGCAAGCAUCUGAAUAAAAAUAACAAUAAUAUAAACUAACCUGCUGCCUGCUUACUGGGACUGCUGCAGGAGCGGUAGGUGCAGCUGGCAAAUUAAGCUCUGCAUCGAAAUCGGAUUCCUUGUCUGGUUGAAGAUACGAUGGGACUGCACUUGACUCAAACUCCAUAUCAGCCUCCAAAGCAUCCAGUUCUGCAAUGUUCAAGAAACAACGACAGUAGAUAGAUUAUUAUCUCCAGCCCUGCAAUGGUCCCAGGAAGAAUGAAGGCAUGGCAACAAGCUAGGCAAUUUAUGGCAUGAAUCUAUGUUAUUACUUCCAGAUGCCUAUGAAUGACAAUAAUGCCAAGUAAAUUGCCAACCAUCAUUUUCCAAUUGGCCAACUGAUGGUACAGCGUCCAUACCUCCCAUUAGUUCUUCCUCAUCAACAUCGUCAGGGAUGUUGUAGCUUCUACCAAGGGAUUCUUGUAUUUCGUUGCUCACAUCCAUCAGGUCAGUCAUUUCAUCUUGCAUAUUCUACAGGUGGAUCAGGGCAUUCGUUUUACGCGAAAAAAGAUGAUAAUACUCAAGAUAGUCCAACAAGCAAUUUCAAGGGCGGUUGAUAACCGCACUUAAAAAAGAUUGACAAUUGUGGUUUUUGUAUGGUUUUCUUGUAAAUCAAUGGAUAUACUGGUGUAAAAUGUGUUGAUGAUCUAAACAAUAGGCAAAUCCUGCAGAUUAGCUUGAAAUGUAAUGAAGGAUAGCGUCUGAAACUAGGAAUGCAAUGCCCAAUAAAAUAUCUGCACUGGAGCAAUUGUCCUUGAGAGAACAAUUGGUCUGUUUGCAUGGUUAUGAAAAAUCUAUAAGCAGGUUUUUCCCUUUCAAUAUAUAAAAAAGAAAAGAUUUGACAGCAAGUUUUUUUCAAGGAAUGGGCAUGAUACAAAACACAGGAUGGGGACAGCUCAAAUGGUAGCACCUGAUAAAGAAAUGCACAUGAGGAAGGAAUAUCUUGGUAAGGUAGCUGUAGUAAGUAGCAACUAAAGAGAAAGAGAAGCAUACAUCGAUGUCCUCAAUCUUGACUGUCUUCAUCAUUCCCUUGAGCUCUUUAUUGGCGGCCUUCAUGGCAUUCAUCUGAGGAAUCGAUAAAUUAACAAACAAAAGAAUGGUUCGGCAAUAAUUCAUAGACAUGGAGACAGUAGGAACAAACAAGGCGGGCUAUAUAUGUGGAGUAGUACGUACGGUCUGCUGAGCGUCUUUGAGGCCAUCGGCAGCGAAAGCGACUUGGUCGAGAUUAUAGGUCUGGUUGUAGAGCAUGUUGCGCUGUUCUUCGUACCUUGAAACAGGCAACGUACAUUCAUCAGAGUUGCAUAGUGGAGUAGUAGCAAAUACUCUACUAGUAGUAGAAUAGUGAGUAAGAGUAGAGUAGAGUACAUGCGCUUGUGCUUGAGAAGCCUGAUGGCGCGGGCCUUAAUGGCGUCCUGGGAGGGUCCAGGGCGUGUCUUCCUGAUCUGCUCCUUGUAACGGCCGAGCUCUUCGUCCAGCUUCUUGAUCUUGUCGUCCACGCUCUCCCCCCUCUUGUUGAUCUUCAAUCACAUACACAUAGAGAGGAAAUGUUCAAACUAAGAGAGAUGGCGUGCGAGCAAAUGGCCUAGACGAGGAGAAUACUCGUUCGGUAGCGUCCUGGAUGGAUGGGGGCGGGUCCUUGCUCUUCUUGGCUCCAAAGAUCUUCUUCAUUUCCGGCGCGUGUGUGCGGCGGCGGCGGCGGCGGCGGCGGCAGCGGCAGCGAGGAGAGAGAGUGUUGGGAGUGAGAUGAGAUGGAGAAGGGGAAUGGGGGACGGGAGGUUGGGCUCCAUGCUGAAUUCUGCUGUGGAUUGGGCCAGGGAAGGCCCUAUCCGGCAUACCAUUAAUCGGAUUUGAUUUCAUUCCCUUUCUCCUCCUUAGUCAUACUCCCUCCCUUCCAUAUUUGACUUAUUUUUUCUUAGUUAAUUUUUUAGCUUGAUCAAAUUUAUAGAAAAACUAAACACUAUCUAUGACAUCAAAUUAUUUUUAUUAAAUGUAGCAUAAAAUACAUUUUGAUAGUAUGUUUGUUUUCUGUUAAAAAUAUUGCUAUUGUCAAAGCAAUAAGCUCUUCUAGUGGGAAGGCAAAGUACCCUCCCUUGAGAAUUCUGCUAGUGUGCAGGUUCCGAGCUCGUACUCGGUUUGCGUGUGGGGUUGGAGACAAGUGGUUUAUACAGAUGCCGCUCGAAAACAUAAUACACAUACUCAUGUGAUAUUGCUAUGGAUAAUGAACUUUACAAGGAGAUGAUUGGGUUGUUCUAAGUGAGAGAGGAUGAACUCUUCUUCAUUGUCUAAGUGAGAGAGGAUGAACCCUUGUUCAUUGUAAUGUGGCUAGAAACUAACUUUGCUUGAGUCCGAUCCCUUUCUAUGUGGCACGGAUGCUCCUUUUAUACGUCAAGGGGAGUCCGUAGUCCCAUGCAUGCAUAAAAAAAAGGGCCCCAACCCAUAGGGGUUGAUAUGCUUGGUCUUAUUGCUGUCCCUCCAAGCAGGGUGACCGGAUGUGAAGGGUCCACCUAUCAGCCCACGACGUUGGUAAAAAGAGGGGUCCAUCAGGUGAAUACGGAGCAAAUGCGCGUCACACAUCUUUUACUCCGGGGUGACGUGGGCAAGCAAGGCGAAGCAUGCACGGCCAUAUCCCCCACAUCGCCAGUGAUAUGUUCAUAGAAACUGUAUUACCCGACAAUUAAUGCAGAAUGACAGGCUAAGGGAGUACACGUAGGACCGGAUAUCAAAUCUCCUUAACGAAGCAAAUUCGUUCAGAGAGACCUCCUGGCGCUAUCCUUGGGGCCAUGGCCCAUAUGCAGCGGCCGUAGGGGUUCCGAGGUAAUGAAAGCUUGUCUUAAGGCUACUGUUGUCCUCGGGUCACCUUUGUCCGUCAACUCCCACUUUGCUCCCGUGGUGCCCCGAGCCAUCGAUGGAGUGUGAGGAUUCUCGCUCCGACAAUGAUGUUUUCCUAUAAAUUUAAUUAUUAUUUUUUAAAAUGUUUAACUUAUAAGAGCAUGGUUAAUGGUUUCGUCGGCAGCUGGCGCAAUAGGGUGGCCAUGUCACUUUAAGCAUUUGAGAAGGUCAUUGCAGAUAGUGAACUGGCGUAGAGGUUGGCUAUAAGAGUUAAUGCUUGCAUGUACUAGUAGCAAAUGGGAGAGAAGGAGCUGCUGGCUUAGUCGCAUGCAGCAGGCUGAGAAGAAGCUUUUUAUCUCGGUUCUGCUGCUUCAAGCGAGCGUCUCACCAAUCGCUCGUCCUAUUCUCUAUUAGGAUUUCUCUCUCUUCCACCUCAGAUUUGGGUGACGUGGUCAGUUAUUUCGCCGGCUAACUGUGCUUCACUAUACUUGCUCUAAAUAAGUCAAAGCCUAAAAAAUAUUAAUUAUUCCCUCCCUCACAAGAGGAAUGUACUAGGGACUAGGAGAGAGCAGCAGCAUCAGCAAUUAAGGAGACCGGUAGCUGUAUCAGUCGUGAAUUAUUUUUUUUACUAGCUAUCAAAGAACAGUCGUACGUGAAUGUAUUAACCAUAUAUGUGAUGGAUUGACACACACACAUAGUACUCUCUCCGUUACAAAAUGAUGAUCAUAUAAUUUUUUUAAGGUUAUUUUUAAAUGAUCAUUAUAUUUAUAUUUAUUUAUUAAAUAUAUUUGUUAUUUGUGUAUUGAAGUAAGUUGAUAUUGAUGUAUGUAUUUAUACACAUAAGUAUUUAUAAUCAAUGUGUAAUAUUUUGAUUUGUUACUGGCUAGAAAAUAGUGGGAUGGUUCGUUAUCGAAGUAAAUAUGGUAGGAGAGGAUUAUCACAGUUUUUAGCAGCCAAGAAGCGAAAGCAAACAGCAAGAAUUCUUAAUCGAGGUCAGAGAAAGAGAGACAGGUGUAUUGGUCAACUCAUUCAUAUCGAGUCCAUUUGGUGGCAUUUUGAGUGGUGGUGCAGGCACUAGCACUACGAGUGGUAGUGGCUCCUCCACUACACCAACCAACUUGUACAAGUACGUGUUGGUUGCAGGAGUAUACCACCACAACAGCAGCUCCUAGCUAGUUGCAUGGAGCCAUGGAGUGAUGGAUGAUUCAUCAAUUCCAAUUAAGGCCUUGUUCGGUUACGAAGAAUUCGUUCCAGGCUGAAAAUGAUAGGUAUAACAAUAAAUUUAUAAUAAGUAUAACUAGAGAUCGAGAUUUAUUUUGGCUCGGGAACCAAUUUACUCAUAUUAGGUACAACAAAAAUAUUUAGAUUAGUUCCACACCUCUUAUUAUUCCUAUUAUGAGUAAAUUAAUUUCCGGUCUGAAAUAAAUCUCGGUCCCUUGUUCUAUCUAUCAUAAUUUUUUUACUACAAUUAUCAUUUAUGACCCAGAUUGAAUCCUUAUCUAACCGAACAAGGCCUAAAUAUUAAAUCGAUCGACGGCGAUCAAUUGAUCAGUCAACCCGGCCGGAUGAAACGAAACGAAACGAAGGCAUUAUACAAUACUCCUACUGUACAAGUUAGUAGUACUAGCUACAUAUCCAUCUUAAAAUAUACUGCUAGCAAGUUAGUAGUAGUAAUUCGUACUGGAUUAUUUCAAGACGGAAGGUCCGGUUGAGGAUUAAUUAAUUAUUUGCCAUUCUUACGGAUGGCUAAAUGAUUUGUUACUGGAUCCAUAUGUCUAUGUCAUAGACAUAUGAGAAUCCACAUGUCAUAAACAGCGAGUGAUAAAUAAUUAAUUGUCACAUCUUAAAAUUGGCAUGGAGUUAAAUGUCCCUUCGGUUGAAGCACGCAUGUCGCACUGGAUUAUCUUAGAUCCUUCCUUCAAUAUAAUCGCCCGUACUUACUACUCCCUCCGUCCCAUAAUAUAAGGUAUUUUGAGUUUUUGCUUAUAACAUUUAACCACUUAUCUUAUUCAAAAUUUUUUAAAAUUAUUAUUUAUUUUAUUUGUGACUUCCUUUAUCAUCUACAGUAUUUUAAGCACAACUUUUCGUUUUUUAUAUUUGUAAAAAAAAAAUUAAAUAAGACGAAUGGUCAAACGUUACAAACAAAAACUCAAAAUCCCUUAUAUUAUUAAACGGAGGGAGUACUACAGCUAAUAUAUAUAUAUACGUGUGUGUAGUACGUGCAUCGUAUCAAUCGCCACUAGCUAGCAAAACUAGAGGUGUAGCUAGUAAUUUCUUGUUGAACAUCACAACAUGCAUGUAUUGCCUUCAACUUGUUGUGCAUCAUCGCAUGCCUUUCUUCUUGUCAUGCCGUGCGUACCUACCACUAUGAUGCAUAAACAUCGAUCGGCAGAUGUUCCCUCUAUUAAUACUCCUAUUUCCUCCCUCCUAAAAUGUUUAACGCCGUUAAUUUUUUUAAAAAUAUUUGACCGUUCGUCUUAUUAAAAAAAUCAAGUAAUUAUUAUUUCUUUUCCUAUCAUUUGAUUUAUUGUUAAAUAUAUUUUUAUAUAUACAUAUAGUUUUACAUAUUUCACAAAAAAUUUUAAAUAAGACAAACGGUCAAACAUGUUUUAAAAAGUCAACGCCGUCCACGAGCGAGUAUUAAUCGAUUCAUCCAUCGGCGGCUGGCUACCGACAAAUCAAUAACUGAUGUAAGAUCUAUAGACAUGCAUCCUCCGUAUGCAGUACUAGUACGUAGGACCAAAUUAAAUUGCUUUGCUGCCCUUGCCCUGCCCGGACUGUCCUAUGAACGGAACCAACCUUAAUCUCCCGAUUACAGUACAAAUGGAGUAUCCCAAUGUGGCCGUGUUCAGUUUCAAACUUUUUUUUUCUUCGAACUUUUUAACAUUUCCAUCACAUCAAAUAUUUGAAGCCUAAUUACGCCAUGAUUUAACAAUGUGGUGUAACAGUAAACAUAUGCUAAUGACAGAUUAAUUAGGUUUAAUAGAUUUGUUUCGCAGUUUACAGGUGGAAUCUGUAAUUUGUUUUGUUAUUAGUCUACGUUUAAUAUUUCAAAUAUGUGUCCGUAUACUUAAAAUUUUUUUUUGACACACGACCUAAACACACAGCCUACAUUAUUAAUGUCCUUUCCCGUGUUGCAAACCCCGUUCCAUUUCAUUCAUCGACUAAUUGAUGGAACUUACUUACUCUCUCCGUCUUAUAUUAUAACAACCUAUAAUUAGAUAGAAUAUUUACAUGUUACAAAGAUUUUGAUUAGAAAAUUUAUUCAUAUUCAUUGUACCAUCUAAUAUCAUAUUUGAUCAUAGAUUAUUAUAUUAUGGGACAGCCGAAGUAGUACUCCCUCCCUCCGUUUCAAAAUGUUUGACACCGUUGAUUUUUUAGCAUAUGUUUGACCGUUCGUCUUAUUCAAAAACUUUUGUGAAAUAUGUAAAAUUAUAUGCCUACAUCAAAAUAUAUUUAACAAUGAAUCAAAUGAUAGGAAAAGAAUUAAUAAUUACUUAAAUUUUUUGAAUAAGACGAACGGUCAAACAUGUGCUAAAAAGUCAAUGGCGUCAAACAUUGGAGUACUUAUUUUUGUUUUGUUUUGCAGCUUAGCUGUUGUUUUAGUAGAGCAUUUGUUGGUUGGUCGUUCCCAGCAUUUGUGCAUUGCAGGUAGCACAAGUAGUACAACCUCCGUCUCAAAAUAAGUGCAGUCUUGAGUUUCCGCGCUCAACUUUAAUAAUCCGUCUUAUUUGAAUUUUUUUUAUAAUUAGCAUUUUUGUUACUAUGAGAUAAUAAAAUAUGAAUAGUACUGUACUCAUGACUUAUAUUUUUAAUUUUUUUAAAAAAUUUUCAAAUAAGAUGAACGAUUAAAAUUGGACGCGGAAAAUCAUGGCUGCACUUAUUUUUGUUACGGAGGGAGCAGUAGAGUACAGGCAGGGCAGGGAAGGGCGUUGGUGGUUCAUCUCCUCUCCUCUGCUUGUGGCGCGCUCAUUGAAUAUUGAUGCUGCUGCAUGCUACCUGUAUUUCUGUACUACUAUCUACGACUACCCCCAUUAACAAACUAAAAUGACAGCUCCGCACUGCCCCAACAUCAUUUUCUUGUACUCCAUACGUCUCAUAAUAUAAUUUUGAGUUUUUACUUUGUAAUGUUUGACCACUCGUCUUAUUCAAAUUUUUCUUUAUAAAUAUAAAAAACGAAAAGUUGUGCUUAAAGUACGUAGAUGACAAAUUAAGUCACAAAUAAAAUAAAUAAUAAUUUUAAAAUUUUUUGAAUAAGACGAGUGGUCAAAUGUUAUAAGCAAAAACUCAAAAUCUCUUAUAUUAUGGAACGGAGGGAGUAGUAUUCAAUUCAGAUCAGUUGAUUUGAGCCGCCGUCGACGAUCCGGCCGGCCGCUUGCUUCUUCCAUAUUGAUCGAGGAGACAUCACAUGGAUCAUCAUCCAAUUCCAGCAGAUGAGAAUGAGAUGACUAGUACUAGUCCCCAGAUGCAGAUGAGGAGAAACAAGCUCUCCUCCCACUUCCAAGGAGAUAUCGAUGAUGAUGGUGGUGUUGGUGUUGUGGACAUCCGGGGGUCGCCGAUGGGGUCGGCGGAGCUGGCGCGCACCGGCGGGUGGGUGGCGGCGGUCUUCAUCUUCGGGAACGAGAUGGCGGAGAGGAUGGCCUACUACGGCCUGUCCCUCAACAUGGUCAUCUUCAUGUUCAACGUCAUGCACCGCCCCUUCGCCGCCUCCGCCAACGCCGUGAACAACUUCCUCGGCAUCUCCCAGGCCUCCUCCCUCCUCGGCGGCUUCCUCGCCGACGCCUACCUCGGGCGCUACUGGACCAUCGCCGCCUUCACCACCCUCUAUCUCCUGGGCCUCGUGGCCCUCACCCUCUGCGCCACCAUGCCCGCCCUCCAGGCCCCGGGCCAGGACGAGUGCGACGGCUUCGCCAAGCUGCUGGGCAAGUGCCAGCAGCCGCACCCCUGGCAGAUGGCCUACCUCUACGCCGCGCUCUACACCACCGCCUUGGGCGCCGCCGGGAUCCGCCCCUGCGUCUCCUCCUUCGGGGCGGACCAGUUCGAGGAGCGGAGCCCGGUGCUGGACCGCUUCUUCAACCUCUUCUACCUGGCCGUCACCGUGGGCGCCAUCGCGGCCUUCACGCUGCUGGUGUACGUGCAGAGGAACCACGGGUGGGCGGCGGCGUUCGGGGCGCUGGCGCUGGCCAUGGCCGCAUCCAACGCGCUCUUCUUCAUGGGGACGCCGCUGUACCGCCACCGCGUGCCGGGGGGAAGCCCGCUGACGAGGGUGGCGCAGGUGCUAGUGGCGGCCUACAGGAAGCGUCACAUCAAGCACACCACGGAACUGUUGUACGAGGUGGGCGGGGCCAAGUCGGCGGUGCGCGGGAGCGGCAAGAUCGAGCACACGGAGGAGCUGAGGUGGCUGGACAAGGCGGCGGUGAGGGUGGAGGGCCAAGAAGAAAUCAAUAACCCAUGGCGUCUUUGCACUGUGACCCAGGUGGAGGAGGUGAAGAUCCUGGUGCGGCUGGCGCCGGUGUCGGCGUGCACGGUGAUGCUGAGCGUGGUGCUGACGGAGUUCCUGACGCUGUCGGUGCAGCAGGCGUACACCCUCAACACCAGGGGCCUCCCCGUGGCGUGCAUGCCCGUCUUCCCCUGCCUCGCCAUCCUCCUCCUCCUCGCCCUCUACUACAGGGCCUUCGCCCCGCUCGCCCGCCGCCUCACCGGCCACCCGCACGGCGCCUCCCAGCUGCAGCGCCUCGGCCUCGGCCUCCUCCUCUCCACCCUCUCCGUCGCUUGGGCUGGCCUCUUCGAGCGCUACCGCCGCGCCUACGCCAUCCGCCAUGGCUUCCUCCCGCUCUUCCUCACUCCCAUGCCGGGCCUCAGCGCCUACUGGCUCCUCAUCCAGUACUGCCUCAUCGGUCUCGCCGAGGUCUUCUGCCUCGUCGCCCUCCUCGAGUUCCUCUACCAGGAGGCCCCCGACGCCAUGCGCAGCCUCGCCUCCGCCUACGCCGCCCUCGCCGGCGGCCUUGGCUGCUUCUUAGCCACCGCCAUCAACACCGCCGUCGACUCCAUCACCGGCGACAUCGACGCCGGACGCCCCUCCUGGCUCGCGCAGAACAUCAACGUCGGCAAGUUCGACUACUUCUACUGGCUCCUCGCCGUGCUCAGCACCAUCAACCUCAUCGUCUUCAUCUACUUCGCCAAAGCCUACAAGUACAGGAUCAAGCCCCCCACCACCCCACAUAACUAGUUCAUAGUAUUUCUACACCACUACAGUCUAGUACUAGUAGUAUCUGCUAAGUGACAUUAUAUUGAUCAAUCAAACAAAUUAAGGGCAUCCAAUAUCUUCUUUUUUAUUGAUCUACUCCUACAUAGUGCUACCUAAACUAUUGGAGUACGCCGAUGAGUUUUGCAGCAUAUGGCACACGCUAGCUUCAAGCGUGGUAAUGAUAUAUUUAUCAACCCUGCUAUACGUACGACUCCUCCGUCCGACCAGUGUGUACGACUGGAACGGCUGAGCACGUCGCUACGCGCAGCUUCUGCCUGAAUUUCGUCAAGCUAAAUCCAAAGCUUGCUAUCUUAAUAUUCUGUUUUUCGCGCAUAUACACACACAAAAAAAAGUACAGUGACAUCAAAAACCAUAAAGCACGAAGUAUACUGUACUGUCCAAUCAUUGCAUAAAAAUAAACAUGCUAAUGUCUUGUUUAAUCUGUCGAUUGAAAUUAGACUUAGCAUUUCGAAGCGAAGGGCCAACAAGUUUGUAGGUUCUGCACGCCUACAGCCCACGAAGAUCGACGUUCCGCACGUUAACGUUGCUGCGUACUCCGUAGUCGGACAAAAGUCGGACGAUCCAGUCGUGUGUGUAGCAUUUUCGUAUAUUUAUGCUAUAUCAACUUUGCAAUUGCAGUUCCUCAUAAUUGCAUUAUUACUUGUAAAGAUAAUAAUGAGGAGGCACUUUUCCACAAAUCAGGUAAGCUAAUUAAAAAGUAAUCCAGACUUAGACAUUUUUUGAUUUUUUUAUCUUGCAACUGUAACUGCGGCAAUUCGUAGAUACUUGAUGUAUAAAUUAUUCUGAGUAUACUCUGUUCAGCGAUUCCUAGUUAUUAUUAGCUGUAUAUUGUCAGUGGGAGGCUAGCUCUUGCCCUUUUAUUAUGAUGGGAAUAUAUAUCCGUUAAUCAGCUAAAGUCAUUAGCAGAAGGUUCUGGCGCUUUAGGUCUUGCUGUUACAGAACGUACGGACACUUGGCUGCUGAUCGAAGCAUGUCGAUCGUGAUGUUGCGUAGUAUCCGAUCGAUCAGGUAUAAGGAAAUUUAUUGUGUUUAUUCCGAAUUUUAGUUAGU